GUCAGCCCCCGGCCUGACGCGGCGUUGCGUCCCCCGGGAGCUGUGCUAGGCGAACGGCUGCGGCGCUUUGUGCUCCAGUCGCUCCUAACGCUCCCUGGCCCGGCCGGGGCCGCGCAGUUAGGGCAUCUGAGGCGGGGAGAAGCGGCGGGGAGACGCGGCUGCCAGCAUGUCGCUGCCUCCGGAGAAAGCCUCCGAGCUGAAGCAGCUCAUCCACCAGCAGCUGAGCAAGAUGGAUGUCCAUGGUAGAAUAAGAGAAAUCCUUGCCGAGACUAUACGGGAAGAAUUGGCACCUGAUCAACAACAUUUAUCAACAGAAGAUUUGAUCAAAGCCCUUAGACGUCGAGGAAUCAUUGACGAUGUGAUGAAAGAACUUAAUUUUGUUACUGACAGUGUUGAGCAAGAACUCCCUUCCUCUCCAAAACAACCUAUUUGUUUUGAUAGACAAUCGACAUUAAAAAAAACUAAUAUUGAUCCAACACGGAGGUAUCUUUACCUUCAGGUUUUGGGUGGAAAAGCUUUCUUGGAACAUCUGCAAGAACCUGAGCCUUUACCUGGACAAGUUUGUUCAACGUUUACUUUAUGUUUACAUUAUCGAAACCAACGUUUUCGUUCUAAACCUGUUCCAUGUGCCUGUGAACCAGAUUUUCAUGAUGGCUUUUUACUUGAAGUACACAGAGAAAGCUUGGGUGAUGGAACUAGAAUGGCUGAUUCAACAACAAUGUUAUCAAUAAGUGAUCCAAUUCAUAUGGUGCUAAUCAAAACAGACAUAUUUGGUGAGACGACUUUAGUAGCAUCGUAUUUUCUGGAAUGGCGAUCGGUUUUGGGCUCCGAAAAUGGAGUGACCAGUCUGACUGUGGAACUUAUGGGUGUAGGCACAGAAUCUAAAGUUUCUGUGGGAAUUUUAAAUAUAAAACUUGAAAUGUAUCCACCACUCAAUCAAACGUUAUCUCAAGAAGUAGUGAACACACAGCUUGCUUUGGAACGUCAGAAAACUGCAGAGAAAGAGCGAUUAUUUCUUGUAUAUGCUAAGCAGUGGUGGAGAGAAUAUUUGCAAAUUCGACCCUCACACAACUCACGACUGGUUAAGAUUUUUGCACAGGAUGAAAAUGGGAUAAAUAGACCAGUCUGUUCCUAUGUUAAACCACUUCGAGCUGGACGGCUUCUUGAUACUCCAAGGCAAGCAGCAAGAUUUGUUAAUGUCCUUGGUUAUGAGCGAGCCCCUGUUAUUGGAGGAGGAGGUAAACAGGAGCAGUGGUGCACUCUGCUGGCCUUUCUCUGUAGAAACAAGGGUGACUGUGAAGAUCACGCUAACCUUCUGUGCAGCCUUCUUCUUGGAUAUGGAUUAGAAGCCUUUGUUUGUGUUGGGACCAAGGCAAAAGGAGUACCUCAUGCAUGGGUUAUGACUUGUGGAACUGAUGGGACCAUCACUUUUUGGGAGAGUUUAACAGGACACAGGUACAUCCAUAAACCUACCAAUCCUGAUGAACCUCCAGUUGCUGAACAGCCCAAACCACUGUACCCAUAUCGAACAAUUGGUUGUGUUUUCAACCAUCAGAUGUUCCUGGGAAAUUGUCAGCCCUCUGAUGCAGUAGAAACCUGUGUAUUUGAUUUGAAUGAUGAAUCCAAAUGGAAACCCAUGAGUGAGGAAGCAAUUAAAUCCGUUUGUGCUCCUGGAGCUACAACAUCCCUUCCUCCCUUUCCACCUCUGUGUGCAUCCACAAUUGACGCGUCAGUAACAAGUAAUGAAAUUGAAAUGCAGCUGAGGCUCCUGGUGUCAGAACACAGGAAGGAUCUUGGCCUCACUACUGUUUGGGAAGACCAGCUCUCCUACCUUUUAUCACCAGCUUUGGCUUCUUAUGAAUUUGAGCGUACAACAAGUAUAUCAGCAGGCAAUGAAGAAUUUCAAGAUGCCAUAAGAAGGGCUGUACCUGAUGGUCACACAUUUAAAGGGUUCCCAAUACAUUUUGUGUAUAGAAAUGCAAGACGUGCAUUUGCCACAUGUCUUCGAUCUCCUUUCUGUGAAGAAAUAAUCUGUUGCCGUGGAGACCAAGUGCGACUGGCAGUUCGUGUCCGAGUAUUUACUUACCCUGAAUCUGCAUGUGCUGUUUGGAUCAUGUUUGCUUGCCGGGUGUGGUGACUCAAGCCUGUAAUUCCACCCCUUUAGGAGGCCAAGGCAGGUGGAUCAUUUGAGUGAGGAGUUCGAGACCAGUUUGGGCAAUGUGGCGAAACCCUGUCUCUACCAAAAAUACAACAACCACCACCACCACCACCAGGCAUGGUGAAUGUGCCUCUUAGGAGCACUUGUCCAGAAGUGUCUGGGAAAAGCUUGGGCUGCACAGUGAUGGUGCUCCCUGAAAGACUCAGAGCAGCACAGCCAGUACCUCCAGGGUAUGAAGCAUGAAGUACAUUUAUUCUACAAGAAUAAGAAGUAAAUAUAAAAAAAGUCAAGGAUUCAAUUUUUAAUAAAGUAACAAAAUCAACAAAAACAAAAUCAUA